rnacentral:lncRNA from 1 species
GGAAAACUAUGCUUAACCUGACCAAUCCAUCAUGUAAAGGAGUCUGCAUUAUCCAUUCCUGAUAAUAGAACCAUUAUUCAUGUGAGAUGACACUGCACUGCAAGGUUAGACUAUGAAUAUUAGUUUUUAUCAACUACACUUGAUAAUAUCACAGACAUUCUAAUUAUUGAAAUUACUGAAUAUAACUUGGCAUUGGUUUAGGAGAGAAAACAGACAUUCCCAUCUACCAGUCGUAAAUUGGCUCAAGCCUACUGAAGAGUAGUUUAUGAAUAUAAAGCAAAUCCUUAAAAAUGUGCAUAGCAUUGUACCAAAGAUAUAGCUUCCAGGUACAGUAUUUAUCCUGUCAACUUAGAGCCUCUGCUUACAUAUUCAUAUUAUAACAUACAUCCUUGUCACCAUUUCCAAUCCCUAUCAGGACCUGGAAAGUGGGAUAGGUCCAAUUAUGCCUAUUUUACAGAUUAACAAACCAAGAAUUGGCAAAUUCAAGUAACUACCUUGCAGUCACACAACUAAGAGCUUGGAUUCAAACUCAAAUCUGUCUCCAAAUCGAGUACUUUGAAGACUAUGACUUAUAAAAGAAGUAGAACACACAUGCUUCCCAUUAGGUGAGAAAGAAACAUGCCUGAGAGUCUAAUGGAUUACUCAAGUCUGUGCUGCCAAGGAAGAACAGAAUCUUUAGAUAUCAUGUGUUUUACAAAUUGAAGUUUGUGGAAACCCUGCAUCAAACAAGUCUAUUGGUGACAUUUUCCCAACAGCAUUUGCUCACUUUGUGUUUCUGUGUCACAUGUUGAUAAUUCUUACAAUAUUUGAAACCUUUUUUAUUAUUAUACAUGUUCUGGUGAUCUGUGAUCAGUGAUCUUUGAUGUUACUACUGUAAUUUUUUUGGAUGCUGUGAACUGUGCCCAUAUAAAAUGGUGAAUUAAAUCAAUA